CAAUUUGGGUGUGUUAUUUUUAAUAAAGUGGGUUUUUUUUUAAAGGGGGGGUCAUUUUCAGUUUCGGUCAAGUGAUAGCUGAAUUUUCGGUCCAGAAUUUUCAUUUCGGUGCAUCCCUAUAUACUAAGCCAGACACUGAAGCAGUAGGCCUACACCACAUCAAUGUUUGGCUUAGUAUAUAGUGAUAGGGGUUAUGCUACAUUAUUGGCAAUGUCUGGCUCAAUGUAUAGUGUUAUGCUGUACCCCAGUCAAUGUGUGCCUCAGUAUAUAGUGAUAUGCUGUACCCCAGUCAAUGUGUGCCUCAGUAUAUAGUGAUAGGUGUUAUGCUGUA